AACGACUCUCGACAACGGAUAUCUCAGCUCUCGCAUCGAUAAAGAAUGUGGCGAAAUGCGAUAGUUGGUGUGAAUUGCAGAAUCUCGUGAACCAUCGAGUCUUCGAACGCAAGUUGCGCCCGAAACCGUUAGGUCAAGGGCAUGGCGA
rnacentral:rRNA from 1 species